rnacentral:rRNA from 1 species
AACGAACGCUGGCGGCAGGCUUAACACAUGCAAGUCGAACGCGUGUAGCAAUACACGAGUGGCGCACGGGUGAGUAACGCGUGGAUAUCUGCCUUUUGGUUCGGAAUAAACCCCGGGAACUGGGGCUAAUACCGGAUGGUUUCCUUCGGGAAUAAAGAUUUAUCGACCAAAAAGAUGAGUCCGCGUCCGACUAGCUAGUUGGCGAGGUAAUGGCUCACCAAGGCGACGAUCGGUAGCUGGCUGAGAGGACGAUCAGCCACACUGGGACUGAGACACGGCCCAGACUCCUACGGGAGGCAGCAGUGGGGAAUAUUGGACAAUGGGGGCAACCCUGAUCCAGCCAUGCCGCGUGAGUGAUGAAGGCC